AGAGUUUGAUCCUGGCUCAGGACGAACGCUGGCGGCGCGCCUAACACAUGCAAGUCGAACGGAGUCAAGAGGAGCUUGCUUUUCUUGACUUAGUGGCGAACGGGUGAGUAACGCGUGAGUAACCUGCCCUGGAGUGGGGGACAACAGUUGGAAACGACUGCUAAUACCGCAUAAGCCCACGGCCCGGCAUCGGGCUGAGGGAAAAGGAUUUAUUCGCUUCAGGAUGGACUCGCGUCCAAUUAGCUAGUUGGUGAGGUAACGGCCCACCAAGGCGACGAUUGGUAGCCGGACUGAGAGGUUGAACGGCCACAUUGGGACUGAGACACGGCCCAGACUCCUACGGGAGGCAGCAGUGGGGGAUAUUGCACAAUGGGGGAAACCCUGAUGCAGCGACGCCGCGUGGAGGAAGAAGGUUUUCGGAUUGUAAACUCCUGUUGUUGAGGAAGAUAAUGACGGUACUCAACAAGGAAGUGACGGCUAACUACGUGCCAGCAGCCGCGGUAAAACGUAGGUCACAAGCGUUGUCCGGAAUUACUGGGUGUAAAGGGAGCGCAGGCGGGAAGACAAGUUGGAAGUGAAAUCCAUGGGCUCAACCCAUGAACUGCUUUCAAAACUGUUUUUCUUGAGUAGUGCAGAGGUAGGCGGAAUUCCCGGUGUAGCGGUGGAAUGCGUAGAUAUCGGGAGGAACACCAGUGGCGAAGGCGGCCUACUGGGCACCAACUGACGCUGAGGCUCGAAAGUGUGGGUAGCAAACAGGAUUAGAUACCCUGGUAGUCCACACUGUAAACGAUGAUUACUAGGUGUUGGAGGAUUGACCCCUUCAGUGCCGCAGUUAACACAAUAAGUAAUCCACCUGGGGAGUACGACCGCAAGGUUGAAACUCAAAGGAAUUGACGGGGGCCCGCACAAGCAGUGGAGUAUGUGGUUUAAUUCGACGCAACGCGAAGAACCUUACCAGGUCUUGACAUCCUGCGACGCACAUAGAAAUAUGUUUUUCCUUCGGGACGCAGAGUCAGGUGGUGCAUGGUUGUCGUCAGCUCGUGUCGUGAGAUGUUGGGUUAAGUCCCGCAACGAGCGCAACCCUUAUGGUCAGUUACUACGCAAGAGGACUCUGGCCAGACUGCCGUUGACAAAACGGAGGAAGGUGGGGAUGACGUCAAAUCAUCAUGCCCUUUAUGACUUGGGCUACACACGUACUACAAUGGCGUUAAACAAAGAGAAGCAAGACCGCGAGGUGGAGCAAAACUCAGAAACAACGUCCCAGUUCGGACUGCAGGCUGCAACUCGCCUGCACGAAGUCGGAAUUGCUAGUAAUCGUGGAUCAGCAUGCCACGGUGAAUACGUUCCCGGGCCUUGCACACACCGCCCGUCA
rnacentral:rRNA from 1 species